rnacentral:misc_RNA from 1 species
CACCACUCAAGCACUGCUUGGUAUUGGGCACUCGUCCGUCGAAAGGCGGGCGUGCCUCGAAGACCUCGGCGGGGUUUCACCAACUUCGGGCGUAGUAGAGUUAAAUCGAACGUCUUAUAAGCUUGGGGGAGCCUCAUUGCCGUUAAACCUUUUAUUUUUUCA